UUGGGGGGGGACGCAGGAGGAUAGGGUAAGCGCGCUGUUGGAUAUGCGCGUCCAAGCAGUUAGGCUGGUAAGUAGGAAAAUCCGCUACCGUAAAGGCUGAGCUGUGAUGGCGAGGGAAAUAUAGUACCGAAGUUCCUGAUUCCACACUGCCAAGAAAAGCCUCUAGCGAGAUAAAAGGUGCCCGUACCGCAAACCGACACAGGUAGGCGAGGAGAGAAUCCUAAGGUGUGCGAGAGAACUCUCGUUAAGGAACUCGGCAAAAUGACCCCGUAACUUCGGGAGAAGGGGUGCUUUUUGAGGUGAAUAGCCUCGAAGAGCCGCAGUGAAUAGGCCCAGGCGACUGUUUAGCAAAAACACAGGUCUCUGCGAAGCCGCAAGGCGAAGUAUAGGGGCUGACGCCUGCCCGGUGCUGGAAGGUUAAGAGGAGGGGUUAGCGCAAGCGAAGCUCUGAAUCGAAGCCCCAGUAAACGGCGGCCGUAACUAUAACGGUCCUAAGGUAGCGAAAUUCCUUGUCGGGUAAGUUCCGACCCGCACGAAAGGCGUAACGAUCUGGGCACUGUCUCAACGAGAGACUCGGUGAAAUUAUAGUACCUGUGAAGAUGCAGGUUACCCGCGACAGGACGGAAAGACCCCGUGGAGCUUUACUGUAGCCUGAUAUUGAAUUUUGGUACAGCUUGUACAGGAUAGGUAGGAGCCUGAGAAGCCGGAGCGCUAGCUUCGGUGGAGGCGUCGGUGGGAUACUACCCUGGCUGUAUUGAAAUUCUAACCCGCACCCCUUAUCGGGGUGGGAGACAGUGUCAGGUGGGCAGUUUGACUGGGGCGGUCGCCUCCUAAAGAGUAACGGAGGCGCCCAAGGGUUCCCUCAGAAUGGUUGGAAAUCAUUCGUAGAGUGUAAAGGCACAAGGGAGCUUGACUGCGAGACCUACAAGUCGAGCAGGGACGAAAGUCGGGCUUAGUGAUCCGGUGGUUCCGCAUGGAAGGGCCAUCGCUCAACGGAUAAAAGCUACCCCGGGGAUAACAGGCUUAUCUCCCCCAAGAGUCCACAUCGACGGGGAGGUUUGGCACCUCGAUGUCGGCUCAUCGCAUCCUGGGGCUGUAGUCGGUCCCAAGGGUUGGGCUGUUCGCCCAUUAAAGCGGUACGCGAGCUGGGUUCAGAACGUCGUGAGACAGUUCGGUCCCUAUCCGUCGUGGGCGCAGGAAAUUUGAGAGGAGCUGUCCUUAGUACGAGAGGACCGGGAUGGACGCACCGCUGGUGUACCAGUUGUCUUGCCAAAGGCAUCGCUGGGUAGCUAUGUGCGGACGGGAUAAGUGCUGAAAGCAUCUAAGCAUGAAGCCCCCCUCAAGAUGAGAUUUCCCAUAGCGUCAAGCUAGUAAGAACCCUGAAAGAUGAUCAGGUUGAUAGGUCAGAGGUGGAAGCGCGGUAACGUGUGGAGCUGACUGAUACUAAUCGUUCGAGGACUUAAUCAA
rnacentral:rRNA from 1 species